CCUACGGGGUGCAGCAGUGGGGAAUAUUGGACAAUGGGCGAAAGCCUGAUCCAGCCAUGCCGCGUGUGUGAAGAAGGCCUUCGGGUUGUAAAGCACUUUCAGUGGGGAAGAAAGCCUUGGGGCUAAUACCCUCGAGGAAGGACAUCACCCACAGAAGAAGCACCGGCUAACUCCGUGCCAGCAGCCGCGGUAAUACGGAGGGUGCGAGCGUUAAUCGGAAUUACUGGGCGUAAAGCGCGCGUAGGCGGUCUGAUAAGCCGGUUGUGAAAGCCCCGGGCGCAACCUGGGAACGGCAUCCGGAACUGUCAGGCUAGAGUGCAGGAGAGGAAGGUAGAAUUCCCGGUGUAGCGGUGAAAUGCGUAGAGAUCGGGAGGAAUACCAGUGGCGAAGGCGGCCUUCUGGACUGACACUGACGCUGAGGUGCGAAAGCGUGGGUAGCAAACAGGAUUAGAUACCCUUGUAGUC
rnacentral:rRNA from 1 species